UGCGCCUACGGGGGGCAGCAGUGGGGAAUAUUGCACAAUGGGGGAAACCCUGAUGCAGCAACGCCGCGUGAAGGAAGACGGUUUUCGGAUUGUAAACUUCUUUUCUUAGUGAAGAAGCAAGUGACGGUAGCUAAGGAAUAAGCAUCGGCUAACUACGUGCCAGCAGCCGCGGUAAUACGUAGGAUGCGAGCGUUAUCCGGAAUUACUGGGUGUAAAGGGAGCGCAGGCGGGA
rnacentral:rRNA from 1 species